rnacentral:rRNA from 1 species
AUUGAACGCUGGCGGCAUGCCUUACACAUGCAAGUCGAACGGCAGCAUAGGAGCUUGCUCCUGAUGGCGAGUGGCGAACGGGUGAGUAAUAUAUCGGAACGUGCCCCAGAGUGGGGGAUAACUAGUCGAAAGACUAGCUAAUACCGCAUACGAUCUACGGAUGAAAGUGGGGGAUCGCAAGACCUCAUGCUCCUGGAGCGGCCGAUAUCUGAUUAGCUAGUUGGUGGGGUAAAAGCCUACCAAGGCAACGAUCAGUAGCUGGUCUGAGAGGACGACCAGCCACACUGGGACUGAGACGCGGCCCAGACUCCUACGGGAGGCAGCAGUGGGGAAUUUUGGACAAUGGGGGCAACCCUGAUCCAGCAAUGCCGCGUGAGUGAAGAAAGCCUUCGGGUUGUAAAGCUCUUUUGUCAGGGAAGAAACGGUAGUAGCGAAUAACUAUUACUAAUGACGGUACCUGAAGAAUAAGCACCGGCUAACUACGUGCCAGCCGCCGCCGUAA